GACGAACGCUGGCGGCGUGCUUAACACAUGCAAGUCGAACGGAAAGGCCCUGCUUUUGUGGGGUGCUCGAGUGGCGAACGGGUGAGUAACACGUGAGUAACCUGCCCUUGACUUUGGGAUAACUUCAGGAAACUGGGGCUAAUACCGGAUAGGAGCUCCUGCUGCAUGGUGGGGGUUGGAAAGUUUCGGCGGGUGGGGAUGGACUCGCGGCUUAUCAGCUUGUUGGUGGGGUAGUGGCUUACCAAGGCUUUGACGGGUAGCCGGCCUGAGAGGGUGACCGGCCACAUUGGGACUGAGAUACGGCCCAGACUCCUACGGGAGGCAGCAGUGGGGAAUAUUGCACAAUGGGCGGAAGCCUGAUGCAGCAACGCCGCGUGCGGGAUGACGGCCUUCGGGUUGUAAACCGCUUUCGCCUGUGACGAAGCGUAAGUGACGGUAAUGGGUAAAGAAGCACCGGCUAACUACGUG
rnacentral:rRNA from 1 species